CCUACGGGAGGCAGCAGUGGGGAAUAUUGCACAAUGGGGGAAACCCUGAUGCAGCAACGCCGCGUGAGUGAGGAAGUAUUUCGGUAUGUAAAGCUCUAUCAGCAGGGGAGAAAAUGACGGUACCUGAGUAAGAAGCCCCGGCUAACUACGUGCCAGCAGCCGCGGUAAUACGUAGGGGGCAAGCGUUAUCCGGAUUUACUGGGUGUAAAGGGAGCGUAGACGGCAGUGCAAGUCUGGAGUGAAAGGCGGGGGCUCAAACCCCGGACUGCUCUGGAAACUGUACGGCUGGAGUGCAGGAGAGGUAAGUGGAAUUCCGAGUGUAGCGGUGAAAUGCGUAGAUAUUAGGAGGAACACCAGUGGCGAAGGCGGCUUACUGGACUGUAACUGACGUUGAGGCUCGAAAGCGUGGGGAGCAAACAGGAUUAGAUACCCCAGUAGUC
rnacentral:rRNA from 1 species